rnacentral:rRNA from 1 species
UGCGUAGGCGGUUUGAUAAGUCAGUGGUGAAAGUUUUCAGCUUGACUGGAAAAAUGCCAUUGAUACUGUCAGGCUAGAAUAUGGUUGCUGUGAGUGGAAUGUGUGGUGUAGCGGUGAAAUGCUUAGAUAUCACACAGAAUAUCGAUUGCGAAGGCAGCUCACAAAGCCAUUAUUGACGCUGAGGCACGAAAGUGUGGGAUCAAACA